UAAGGAAAAAAAAAAAGAAAGAAAAGAAAAGAAAGAAAGAAGAAAAAAAGAGGAAAAAAAAAAGAACCACAGCUUUGGACAAAAGUCUAUAGCCAGUGCAUUUGAAACUCCCCUUGCACAAGGGCUGACUGUAGCUGGGGAAAGACAGUUUACUCAUUUGCUCUCUCCUUUCAUACAGUCAGCUGGCCCUCUUCUCAGGUGUAGAUCACCUAUUAUCAUUUCACCUGUUUUGAUUCUCUGAUGAGGCAAGUCCCAGGACUUAUCAGCAGGGAUAGGCCUCAUUGACAAGACAGCUCUGUUCAGUAUCUGGAAGAAAGCCUGACAGGUUUCUCCGGGAAAGUGACCAUCCAUGGAAUGAAUGAAAUGUUCCCUUUCUAUUUCUGGGAUUGCAGUGGCAAAGCUAGGCUAGGUCUUGGAGGCUGGUGUAAGGCGAAGCGGGUGAAGGCAGGAGGCUGAUGGAGAGACUGGGGGGAAGAAAAGCCGAAAUGGAUUCAUGGUGCCUUGGAUGGAGGACGAGAGGGGAAUUGCAAGCUCCUUCAACUCGUUCUGUCCGGUGAGAAGUGAUCAAGCUUGGGCUGACAAGAGGCUCAGGGAGCCCUCACGUUCUUUUGCUUUUUUACCUGCCAAUCAAACUGCUACAAGACAACACCCUGAUCUGGCAUGGACAUCGCGGGUCCAAGCCUGUAGCCCCAAAUCGGAUAAUCUCUGCAGCUGAUAACAAGCAAAAGAGAAGCCAGGCAACAGCCAUAUUAAAGAAGAAAACAAUCAACUCUGAGGAUACAGACAGGCAUGCAGAAGUAACUAGACGUCCCAACACAUGCCAAAGUCUUGCGGGCCCAGGAUUUCAAACAAAAGAAAACUCGGACAGGAGUGCUGUGCCCACCUGGACUGAGGGAACAGCCCUGGCAAAGUCUCAAGACAGGUCAAGAAGCUGGGGAAGGCAAUCAGCUCUUGCAUCAUCCACAUUGUUCCUGGAGCACAGCCUGGCUGAUCCUGGGGCUAGAGCUCAGAACCAGAUGCUACCCUGAAAAUUCUAUUUUCUCCAAGAAAGUGGACUACUCUUUGAGAGUUCUAGCCUGUGAACUCAAUAUGUAAAUGUGGUCAUCAAGCAAGACAAAACUGCCAAGAGAGAAGAUUUUAUCCUACGAACAUUCCUUCUUCCAGUGGUUCUUUGCUCAAAGUUUCCCCCAUUUUCCAGUGAUGUUGAAAUGGCUCCAGAGCAACUCUAUGGUAGCUAAACUGAGAUGCCAUUUCAUUUGAAUCCUUUGUAAAAAUUAGAUUUUAAGUAGGGGUGAAUGUCCUUUCCGGAGAAUAACCCAGGAAGAGUGGAAGCAGGGGGGAGGAGACAGCAGUUUAUACACAUAUAUACUCUUUGUGUUUGAAGGCCUCUGUGUCUUGGCUUCUCACUAUGUUAAAUCCCUAUUAUAAAACUUAUCUUCACAAAGCCUAUUAUAGUAUUCUGAGAACAAAUUGGACCAUGAAUAACUUAGUUGGAAGUGUAGAUUAUUUUCUACUUAGGGAAAGUUAGAGAUGACAACAGCUUAACUAAAAGAAUAGUGAUUAAUCUUAAAUAGAUGGAUUUCAAAGUUUCACUCUUGAUAAAGAGUACCUUUGAUAGUUCCCCUCUUCAGACUCAUGUUUCCACUUUCUUUGUAUUAAGAGCUGUCCUAGUGAUUACACUGUCCGCCUAAUACAGCAUGGCUCUAACUGUGGAUCCUUUUCUUACAGUUUGUUAAUCUGUCUGAGAGGUGACCAGAAAGAUAUUCUACUUCCUAUUGGUAAAUGUAUGAUUUCAAAGUGGUACCCAUGCCUAGAUAUCAAACUCACUGUUAGGAAAGAUAUGUUGCAUAAAUCAUAAUUUCUCAACUAGAUAAAAUUAUUACUUAAAAACAUCUUAAAUUUGUUAUAAUGCCCUGUAACUUACAAAGCACUUCUCAAUUCAUAAUUUUGUUUGAUCCUUAGAAUAAUGUCAUGAAAUAAUAUCAUUAAUCCCAUUUUACCAAGGGGCAGCUGAGUCAUUGGCACACUGUCACCCAGCUGAUAAAUGGAACACCUCGGAUACCGACUCAGAUUUUACAGCUUCUGCUUCAAGUGAUUAACCUAUAGCAAUAGGCUUUUUAAUUGUUUUUAUGUUCUAUAUCCCUGAAAACCAAGAUUUUGUAUUAAGGAGCAAAGUUUUUAUAUUUCACAAGAAAGUUAUGACACAACUUAGAAACAUUUUUUUCAUUUAGAAAGGAAUUUUACUAGUUAUCAUUUUCUUUUUUGUGUAUCUAUCUAUGUAUCAGUGGUCUUUCAGAGUUAAUCUCUAGAAGUCAAACAUGGGCAGCCCUACAUAUAUUAAAUAACUACCUGGAAUUUUUUAAAUGAACAUGAAAACCAUCGAUAAUACUAUAGGUGAGUUUUCCUGUCUAGUGUUUUUUGUUUUUGUUUUUUUAGCUCCGUUGAGAUAUAAGUGACAAAUAAAAUUGUUAGAUAUUUAAAAUGCACAUCAUGAUGAUUUGAUACAGGCUUACAUUGUGAGGGGAUUCCUCCAGUCAAUUAAUAUACCCAUCACCUAUGCAUUUAUUUAUUUAUUUUUUGAGGAAAAUAUUUAAGUUCUACUGUCUCUCUUUUCUUUUGGCCGUGCCAAGUGGCAUGCAGGACCCCAGUUCCCUGAACCAUGAAUUGAACACAUGCCCCCCACCAGUGGAAGCUUGGAGUCCCAACCACUGGACCUCCAGGGAAAUUUCAUUAAGUUCUACUCUGUUAACAAAUUUCAGUUAUUCAAUACAGUCUUAUAAACUAUAGUCACCAUGUUACACAUUAAAUUUUCAGACCUUAUUCAUCUGAUAGCUAAAAGUUUGUACCCUUUUAUUAACCUCUAAUUCCCUCACUCUCCAGCUCUGCCUUCUAGUGUUUAUAAACUGGUACUUUUAACAUCUUAUCAAGUUUGGAUGAACAAAGUUGUGAAGGGCUACUUCCUGUUUCUCUUGUAUUUUUUACUCUAUGUGUGUAAAAAAAAGUUUGCAAACUACUUUAUGAAUGAUAAAUAAAAGGUUUAAUUCACCUGAUGUUGAUGUAACCUAUCUAAACACAGAAAUCAAAAAAUACAAAAGGAUUACAACAUGUGAUUCUAAUUAGGCUUUUGAUUAUAUUGUUUUAAGUAUGUAAUAUAGAUGUGUGAAUGUUAUUGAUAAUAUGAAAAAAUCCUUUAUUUCUUAAAGUUUAUAUACUUAAAUUAGUCACUUUAUAUAUACUUAAAUCAAGGUUUUUGCUCCUGAAUUUUGCUAGCAGCUAGACAAAUCCAGUCAAAGUUUUUAGGAUUAGGAAAAAAUGAAAAGGUAUCUGGAAAAGGGAAAACAAGUGUUCUGGUUGAAUGUGUAUCAAUAAUGACAUACAUAUAUUAUAACCUUUCUUGGACCAAGGUUUUUCAAUUAAAACAUGACAUUAGACUGAGAAUUGUUUAUUGUGAUUUCUAAGUAGAUGUUAAAGCCCCCAACUUCAAAGUUCUAAUGUCUUCUCUAGAAUUUGCAAAUUAAGAAAUGCAAAAAUAAAGACUCUCAUAUUAACAUUGAUAUGUUUGCUUAGAUGCCCUUUUUGUUUUGUACAUUACCAAUCUAAUUAAUUUUAUUCAUAUCUGCCUUUAACAGCUACCGUUGUCCUAAACAGGCUUUUCCCCGCCUGUCUUCCUCCCUUCCUUCCCCACUUCUUCCCUUACUGCUUUCCUUUCCUUCUUUCUUUCUUGUCUUCUCUCUCCUCCUUCCUUCCCUCCCUCCCUUCUCUCUUUUCCUCCCUUCCUCCUUCUUAUGUUACUCAUCAGUUUUUAAGUAGUUUUGUUUUAAACCCAGCUUGGGUUAAGAGGCUUAUCUAAGGCAGUGCCUUAUGCCAGACAAAUAUUCAGCACAACACAAUGCUCACUGCAGCUAACCUACAGGUCAGAGAAGCUAAGUACAAUACCAAGAGUUUCCUGACAACCAAACUCUACUCCUAGGGGUAAACUUUUAAUGUUACAGAGUAUGGCAAUGUCCCUCCAUCUUGCUGUCUUCAUAGUAUUUUUAAGUCAACUAAGUUAUUGGUUAGUUUUCAUGUAAACUUCUCAUGUUGCAAAAGAAGAUAACGAAGAAGGAGGAGGAGGAGAAUUAUUUUAGGAAUCCAAAAAGAAAUAUUGUCAAUUGCUACAUAAAACUUGCAUGUAAGUACAUAGAAGCACCACACUAACAUUGGGAAGCAUAAAUAAAGAUGAAAGGUUUCUCAUUUUUCUUUUAAGUUACUCCUGCCCAAUAUACUGAGGUAUCAAAGAUAUGUUUUCUUUCUUUCCUUCUCUCUCUCUACCCUCCUCUUUCUCUCCUGAAGCUGUUAUCAAUCUGAGCAACUUAAUAUAAUUUUGCAAAAUAGGAUUUUCUUUUCAGUGAUACAAACAUUUUCCCCAAUGAGGUUUUUAAGCAAGUCAACCAGGCAUAAAAAUGUUUUAUAUUCUUCUGAAAGGAAUAUUAUUUAUCUAUGUAGUAGAAGAUCACAGUAUAUAGUGAAAAUUCAGUCAGUUAUUUGUGUAUUAGUUUCUAUAGUAUCAGAUUUUUCUCUGUCUCUCAAUAUUGUGAAUAUAUAUUACAUAAUUGCUGAUAAAUGCAGUUUCUGACUAUGGAACUUAAUUUGCUAGAGUAACCUGUUUAUGUUGAGUAUUGUUGAGUGCCUACUAUCCAUUGAAUAGGCAUAACUGACUACCUCUAAGUAAGUAUAAGGUAUUCCUUUAAGUUAUUCAAAGAUGAAAAGUAUAAAUCCCUGCCAUCAUGGAAUUUUGUGGAAGUAAGGAUUAGAAUUAAAAAAUAUUUUAAAAGCUCAGGAUUUGGGUCCAACAAUCUGGGAAAGAGAAAUGGGCAUGUAUAUGUCUCUUCAGAAUAAGUUUUUGGUAAAGGCUUAAACAAAUGACUGAAAACAUGGAGUAGCCUGGAUAAGUUUGAUAGAGAACAUGGGCCUUAGAGCGGAGGUAGGGCUCUGAUAGACAGACACGGGACCAUAUUCUAUAUGGGAGGGGAAGGGAGGGAAGUGAGGUUGUACAGUGUACCAUAGAAAAUGAUUUAAUGGAUUCAAAAUGUUUCUAGAAUAACACAAAGUGAGGCUGAAUAUUCUGUUUUAAUGGGCCAUCCUAUACUUUAUUCAUUUAGUAAAUACUGUCAUUAAAUGUUUUAUUAAUAAUAAAAACAUUUAUCUUAAGGGGAGUUAAAAUUCAAUGAUGAGAAUUAAGUGUGAGAAAUCUAGUGCUUUUCAUAUAGGCUUAUUCCUGGAUCUGGGUGCCUCUGUGUUUCUCAUAUCUCCAUCUGGAUAUCUAUUUCUCAUAUUUGUGAAAUAACCUAUCAAUUAUUAAAUUGAAGGUUUUUAUGAAAAAUCAAUUAUACUCUUUCAAAGAUAUUUUGUGGGUCACUUCCUAUGUGCCACUUGUGCUCAGAGUUCCAAUAUAGGAUUAC
ensembl:lncRNA